UAUACCGUGAAACUGCGAAUGGCUCAUUAAAUCAGUUAUCGUUUAUUUGAUAAUACCUUACUACUUGGAUAACCGUGGUAAUUCUAGAGCUAAUACAUGCUGAAAAUCCCGACUUCGGAAGGGAUGUGCUUAUUAGAUAAAAAACCAAUGCCCUUCGGGGCUCUUUGGUGAUUCAUGAUAAUUUUACGGAUCGCAUAGCCUUGCGCUGGCGACGGUUCAUUCAAAUUUCUGCCCUAUCAACUUUCGAUGGUAAGGUAUUGGCUUACCAUGGUUUCAACGGGUAACGGGGAAUUAGGGUUCGAUUCCGGAGAGGGAGCCUGAGAAACGGCUACCACAUCCAAGGAAGGCAGCAGGCGCGCAAAUUACCCAAUCCCGACACGGGGAGGUAGUGACAAUAAAUACUGAUACAGGGCUCUUUUGGGUCUUGUAAUUGGAAUGAGUACAAUUUAAACCUCUUAACGAGGAACAAUUGGAGGGCAAGUCUGGUGCCAGCAGCCGCGGUAAUUCCAGCUCCAAUAGCGUAUAUUAAAGUUGUUGCAGUUAAAAAGCUCGUAGUUGAAACUUGGGCCUGGCUGGCGGGUCCGCCUCACCGCGUGCACUCGUCCGGCCGGGCCUUCCUUCUGAAGAACCUCAUGCCCUUCACUGGGCGUGUUGGGGAAUCAGGACUUUUACUUUGAAAAAAUUAGAGUGUUCAAAGCAGGCCUUUGCUCGAAUACGUUAGCAUGGAAUAAUAAAAUAGGGCGUGCGUUUCUAUUUUGUUGGUUUCUAGAGACGCCGCAAUGAUUAACAGGAACAGUCGGGGGCAUCAGUAUUCAGUUGUCAGAGGUGAAAUUCUUGGAUUUACUGAAGACUAACUACUGCGAAAGCAUUUGCCAAGGAUGUUUUCAUUAAUCAGUGAACGAAAGUUAGGGGAUCGAAGACGAUCAGAUACCGUCGUAGUCUUAACCGUAAACUAUGCCGACUAGGGAUCGGGCGAUGUUCUUUUUCUGACUCGCUCGGCACCUUACGAGAAAUCAAAGU
rnacentral:rRNA from 1 species